AUGUGGUAUCAUACAUCAUUUAAGGUGGAAUCAGGUGUCAAGCAGGGAUGUGUUAUUGCCCCCACCUUAUUUUCCAUCUUCAUCGCUAUGAUACUUCACCUUGUUGAUGGGAAGCUUCCCACCGGAGUAAAAAUCAUCUAUCGGACAGAUGGCAAGCUAUUUAACCUCAGCAGACUGAAAGCCAAAACCAAGGUCACCACAACAUCUGUUAUAGAACCCCAAUAUGCUGAUGACAACGUAGUCUGUGCGCACUCAGAAGAAGACCUACAAGCCACUCUAAACUCUAAGCUUGGCCUCUCACUGAACAUCGAGAAAACCAAAGUGCUCUUCCAACAGGCACCAGCUAAACCCUCUGCAAAGCCAGGAAUACAGCUUAACGGUGCAACAUUAGAAAACGUUGACCAUUUCCGCUACCUUGGCAGCCACCUCUCCACAAAAGUCAACAUCAACACUGAAAUACAACAUCGCCUGAGCUCUGCGAGUGCAGCAUUUUUCCGUAUGAAGCAAAGAGUGUUUGAUGACCGGGACAUUCGUAGAGAUACUAAGGUGCUUGUUUAUAAAGCCAUUGUCCUCCCAACCCUGCUGUAUGCCUGCGAAACGUGGACUGUGUACAGACGUCACACCAAACUCCUGGAGCAUUUCCAUCAGCGUUGCCUCAGGAAAAUCCUGCGAAUCUCUUGGGAAGACAGGCGGACAAAUGUCAGCGUGCUGGAAGAAGCAAAGACUACCAGCAUUGAAGCCAUGCUCCUACACCAUCAACUCCGCUGGACUGGCCACGUUGUCCGAAUGCCCGAUCACCGGCUCCCAAAGCAGUUACUCUACUCCGAACUCAAGAAUGGGAAAUGGAAUGUUGGUGGGCAGGAAAAGAGAUUUAAAGAUGGGCUCAUAGCCAACCUUAAAAACUAUGGCAUAGACACUGAGAACUGGGAAGCCCUGGCCCUUGAGCGCUCUAAUUGGAGGUCAGCUGUGACCAGCAGUGCUGUGGAGUUCGAAGAGGCACGAACGGAGGGCCUAAGAAUGAAACGUGCCAAGAGGAAGGAGCGUCAAGCUAACCCCGACCGGGACCACCUUCCACCUGGAAACCAAUGUCCUCACUGCGGGAGAAUAUGUGGGUCAAGAAUCGGUCUCUUCAGCCACCUAAGAACCCACCCCCAAGAUGGAAGACAAUCGUCCUCGAGCUACGAGGGAUCGCCUAAGUAA
rnacentral:lncRNA from 1 species